GACGAACGCUGGCGGCGUGCCUAAUACAUGCAAGUCGAGCGGACUUUCAAGAAGCUUGCUUUUUGAAAGUUAGCGGCGGACGGGUGAGUAACACGUGGGCAACCUGCCUGCAAGACGGGGAUAACUCCGGGAAACCGGGGCUAAUACCGGAUAAUAUCUUCCUUCGCAUGAAGGAAGGUUGAAAGGCGGCGCAAGCUGCCGCUUGCAGAUGGGCCCGCGGCGCAUUAGCUAGUUGGUGAGGUAACGGCUCACCAAGGCGACGAUGCGUAGCCGACCUGAGAGGGUGAUCGGCCACACUGGGACUGAGACACGGCCCAGACUCCUACGGGAGGCAGCAGUAGGGAAUCUUCCGCAAUGGACGAAAGUCUGACGGAGCAACGCCGCGUGAGCGAAGAAGGUCUUCGGAUCGUAAAGCUCGGUUGUCAGGGAAGAAAAAGUACCGUUCGAACAGGGCGGUACCUUGACGGUACCUGACCAGAAAGCCACGGCUAACUACGUG
rnacentral:rRNA from 1 species